UACGUAGGGAGCAAGCGUUAUCCGGAUUUACUGGGUGUAAAGGGUGCGUAGGCGGCUUGGUAAGUCGAAAGUGAAAUUUCGGGGCUCAACCCCGGAGCUGCUUUCGAAACUGCCGAGCUAGAGUGUGGGAGAGGAAAGCGGAACUUUGAGUGUAGCGGUGAAAUGCGUAGAGAUUCAAAGGAACACCAGUAGCGAAGGCGGCUUUCUGGACCAUUACUGACGCUGAGGCACGAAAGCGUGGGGAGCGAACAGG
rnacentral:rRNA from 1 species